rnacentral:rRNA from 1 species
AAAUUGAAGAGUUUGAUCAUGGCUCAGAUUGAACGCUGGCGGCAGGCCUAACACAUGCAAGUCGAACGGUAACAGAAAGCAGCUUGCUGCUUUGCUGACGAGUGGCGGACGGGUGAGUAAUGUCUGGGAAACUGCCUGAUGGAGGGGGAUAACUACUGGAAACGGUAGCUAAUACCGCAUAACGUCGCAAGACCAAAGAGGGGGACCUUAGGGCCUCUUGCCAUCGGAUGUGCCCAGAUGGGAUUAGCUAGUAGGUGGGGUAACGGCUCACCUAGGCGACGAUCCCUAGCUGGUCUGAGAGGAUGACCAGCCACACUGGAACUGAGACACGGUCCAGACUCCUACGGGAGGCAGCAGUGGGGAAUAUUGCACAAUGGGCGCAAGCCUGAUGCAGCCAUGCCGCGUGUAUGAAGAAGGCCUUCGGGUUGUAAAGUACUUUCAGCGGGGAGGAAGGGAGUAAAGUUAAUACCUUUGCUCAUUGACGUUACCCGCAGAAGAAGCACCGGCUAACUCCGUGCCAGCAGCCGCGGUAAUACGGAGGGUGCAAGCGUUAAUCGGAAUUACUGGGCGUAAAGCGCACGCAGGCGGUUUGUUAAGUCAGAUGUGAAAUCCCCGGGCUCAACCUGGGAACUGCAUCUGAUACUGGCAGGCUUGAGUCUCGUAGAGGGGGGUAGAAUUCCAGGUGUAGCGGUGAAAUGCGUAGAGAUCUGGAGGAAUACCGGUGGCGAAGGCGGCCCCCUGGACGAAGACUGACGCUCAGGUGCGAAAGCGUGGGGAGCAAACAGGAUUAGAUACCCUGGUAGUCCACGCCGUAAACGAUGUCGACUUGGAGGUUGUGCCCUUGAGGCGUGGCUUCCGGAGCUAACGCGUUAAGUCGACCGCCUGGGGAGUACGGCCGCAAGGUUAAAACUCAAAUGAAUUGACGGGGGCCCGCACAAGCGGUGGAGCAUGUGGUUUAAUUCGAUGCAACGCGAAGAACCUUACCUGGUCUUGACAUCCACGGAAGUUUUCAGAGAUGAGAAUGUGCCUUCGGGAACCGUGAGACAGGUGCUGCAUGGCUGUCGUCAGCUCGUGUUGUGAAAUGUUGGGUUAAGUCCCGCAACGAGCGCAACCCUUAUCCUUUGUUGCCAGCGGUCCGGCCGGGAACUCAAAGGAGACUGCCAGUGAUAAACUGGAGGAAGGUGGGGAUGACGUCAAGUCAUCAUGGCCCUUACGACCAGGGCUACACACGUGCUACAAUGGCGCAUACAAAGAGAAGCGACCUCGCGAGAGCAAGCGGACCUCAUAAAGUGCGUCGUAGUCCGGAUUGGAGUCUGCAACUCGACUCCAUGAAGUCGGAAUCGCUAGUAAUCGUGGAUCAGAAUGCCACGGUGAAUACGUUCCCGGGCCUUGUACACACCGCCCGUCACACCAUGGGAGUGGGUUGCAAAAGAAGUAGGUAGCUUAACCUUCGGGAGGGCGCUUACCACUUUGUGAUUCAUGACUGGGGUGAAGUCGUAACAAGGUAACCGUAGGGGAACCUGC